GAUGAACGCUGGCGGUGUGCCUAAUACAUGCAAGUCGAGCGAACAGACGAGGAGCUUACUCCUCUGACGUUAGCGGCGGACGGGUGAGUAACACGUGGAUAACCUACCUAUAAGACUGGGAUAACUUCGGGAAACCGGAGCUAAUACCGGAUAACAUGUUGAACCGCAUGGUUCAACAGUGAAAGACGGUCUUGCUGUCACUUAUAGAUGGAUCCGCGUCGCAUUAGCUAGUUGGUAAGGUAACGGCUUACCAAGGCAACGAUGCGUAGCCGACCUGAGAGGGUGAUCGGCCACACUGGAACUGAGACACGGUCCAGACUCCUACGGGAGGCAGCAGUAGGGAAUCUUCCGCAAUGGGCGAAAGCCUGACGGAGCAACGCCGCGUGAGUGAAGAAGGUCUUCGGAUCGUAAAACUCGGUUAUUAGGGAAGAACAAAUGUGUAAGUAACUAUGCACGUCUUGACGGUACCUUAUCAGAAAGCCACGGCUAACUACGUG
rnacentral:rRNA from 1 species